rnacentral:piRNA from 1 species
UGACAAAUCCGAGGCUAACUCAAUAUGU